GCCUGGGUGGCUCAGUCGGUUGAGCGUCCGACUUCAGCUCAGGUCACUAUCUCACGGUUCGUGAGUUCGAGCCCCGCGUCAGGCU
rfam:Felis catus isolate Cinnamon breed Abyssinian chromosome B1, whole genome shotgun sequence.